UACGGAGGAUCCGAGCGUUAUCCGGAUUUAUUGAGUUUAAAGCGCACGUAGGCGGCCUGAUAAGUCGGGUGUGAAAGCCCUGGGCUCAACCCAGGAAGUGCACACGAAACUGUCAGGCUUGAAUAUGGAAGAGGGUCGCGGAAUUCCCGGUGUAGAGGUGAAAUUCGUAGAUAUCGGGAGGAACACCAGUGGCGAAGGCGGCGACCUGGGCCAAUAUUGACGCUGAGGUGCGAAAGCGUGGGGAGCAAACAGG
rnacentral:rRNA from 1 species